rnacentral:snoRNA from 1 species
AUCCCAAUUAAGCUGAGAUUUGAUCAGUGCUUAUUUGAUUCAUGGGAGGCCUAAAUCAAACUCACAAAAUGGAGGUUUCGCUGAUAACGCCUUUUCUCUUUUUUCAAGAAGGCGUUUACUAGUAACCAUUCCCAUAUAUAU